UGGGGAAUAUUGGACAAUGGGCGCAAGCCUGAUCCAGCCAUGCCGCGUGUGUGAAGAAGGCCUUUUGGUUGUAAAGCACUUUAAGCGAGGAGGAGGCUACUUGGAUUAAUACUCUAGGAUAGUGGACGUUACUCGCAGAAUAAGCACCGGCUAACUCUGUGCCAGCAGCCGCGGUAAUACAGAGGGUGCGAGCGUUAAUCGGAUUUACUGGGCGUAAAGCGUGCGUAGGCGGCUUUUUAAGUCGGAUGUGAAAUCCCUGAGCUUAACUUAGGAAUUGCAUUCGAUACUGGGAAGCUAGAGUAUGGGAGAGGAUGGUAGAUUUCCAGGUGUAGCGGUGAAAUGCGUAGAGAUCUGGAGGAAUACCGAUGGCGAAGGCAGCCAUCUGGCCUAAUACUGACGCUGAGGUACGAAAGCAUGGGGAGCAAACAGG
rnacentral:rRNA from 1 species